UUUAAAGUCUAACCUGCCCUAUGAGGAUUUAAAUGGCUGCGGUAUUUUGACCGUACAAAGGUAGCAUAAUCAUUAGUUUUUUAAUUGAAAGCUGGUAUGAAUGGUUGGACGAGAAAAUAACUGUCUCAAUUUAAUAGUUAGAAUUUUAUUUUUAAGUAAGAAAGCUUAAAUAUUAUUGAAAGACGAGAAGACCCUAUAGAGUUUUAUAUAAAGCGAGGUUUAAUUAAAGCAGAAUUUAUAUCAAUAUAAUUUGGUUUUGUAUUUUAUUGGGGUGAUAGGAAAAUUAAAGGAACUUUUUUUUUUGUAUUUAACAUUGAUAUAUGAAUAAUUGAUCCAUCGUAAUGAUUAAAAGAUUAAAUUACCUUAGGGAUAACAGCGUAAUUUCUUUUGAGAGUUCAUAUCGAAAAGGAAGGUUGCGACCUCGAUGUUGGAUUAAAAUUAAUUUUUGGUGUAGGUGCUAAAAUAUUAGGUCUGUUCGACCUUUAAAAUUUUACAUGAUCUGAGUUUAAACCGGUGUAAGCCAGGUUGGUUUCUAUCUUCAAUUAGAUAAAAUAUUUUAGUACGAAAGGACCAAGUAUUAAUAAAAGUUAUUGUUUUAUGAAUGAAGUUAAUUA
rnacentral:rRNA from 1 species